rnacentral:rRNA from 1 species
ACGGGAGGCAGCAGUGGGGAAUAUUGGGCAAUGGGCGAAAGCCUGACCCAGCGACGCCGCGUGAGGGAAGAAGGUCUUCGGAUUGUAAACCUUAGUUGGCAGGGACGAAAUAAAUGACGGUACCUGCAGAGAAAGCCACGGCUAACUACGUGCCAGCAGCCGCGGUAAUACGUAGGUGGCGAGCGUUAUCCGGAUUUACUGGGUGUAAAGGGUGUGUAGGUGGAAAAGCAAGUCAGAUGUGAAAACUAUGGGCUUAACCCAUAGCCUGCAUUUGAAACUGUUUUCCUUGAGAGUGGGAGAGGUAAAUAGAAUUCCCGGUGUAGCGGUGAAAUGCGUAGAUAUCGGGAGGAAUACCGGUGGCGAAGGCGAUUUACUGGCCCAUUACUGACACUGAAACACGAAAGCGUGGGUAGCAAACAGGAUUAGAUACCCUGGUA